rnacentral:lncRNA from 1 species
GCUUUUCGGCACCACCCAAGAUGUACUAAUGCGCCUUGUGAAGACUCACUCCCGUGGCCUCUGGGGUUCGGCAUUGAAAGAGAGGGUGGGAGAGGAAAGGAAAGAGAAGGGGAAAGGGUAAGAAUGGCUUGAGUGAGAUCCCUAAGCUGUGAGCAAGUUCUUCAAAUUGAGUUUUCCUUUGAGGCAGACAUUUUCCAGUUAAACUUUAAACUCAAAAGCUUGUCCUAUUUAUCUCCAAAAUGCAGGCUAUGUGUCUCCCUCCUAAUUAGCAUGAAAUUAUUUCUUGUUUUUCCUUCAUUAGAAAUUAGGAUUUAUUUUUUUAAAGAUAAAAUUUGUAUUCCUGCUUAAUUUUUAGACUCAUUUGGAAGCAGUGCAUUUUUAUCAGAGGGACUGAAAAGCCUUUCGAGAAUCAGUCAAGAAAAAGGAAUGCGCAUGAGAGUCAUGGCACAAGGAAAUCCAACACUGAGGGGUCACAGCAGAGGGACGGAAAGCACCUGGAUCUUACAACAUUGUUGAGCUCUUUUGUCUCUUGACUUCUAGUUAUGAGAUGUAAUUUUCUUACUGUUAAAGUCAUUUCUGUUCCUUGCAACCAAAAGCAUUCAUUGAUACACUGAAUAUAGUACAAUAUUUAUUCAAUCAAUAAAUGCCUGGCAAAUUACCCAAGUAUGAGUAAUUGUAGUUUGUCUCACAGCUAUUCUUUCAAGUAAAAGUGAUGCUCCAUGACAAAAACGGCUAGUUUAGCUUGUAACACAAACAACUGCACAAGUGCUUUUCCUUCAGACAAGUAUUGUACUUUCAUAUGUAACAGAUGUAUGUGCUUUAUGCAUGUUCCCAUUUCAUAACACAGAGUAUUAGAAACAUGUAUACUUCAGGGUUGAGAUCUCAUAAAAUGAGUAGUUUUCACAGCUUCAUUGAGGACACUCUUAAAUGAAACUGGCAGGUUUUUUUUUUUGAGUACUAGGAAAUGGGUGGCAGUAAAGAAUACAGUAACUAUUAAUAUAGUGUGGUGCUACUGCCUUGAAUUGUGCUAAGGCAUCGGCAGUUUUCGUCAUCAUUGCUUUGACAUCAUCAGUGCAGGUGUCAAUACAGUGAAAAAGGUAAAUGGCAUCUUGGUGUGAUUAUGGAAAUAGAUUGAUCUAAUGGACCGCCUGAAGUAGGCUUGGCCUCCCCAGGGAUCUUAGAGAACUGCUAUAGUAGGUGAUUACUUGGGAAACAAAAUCUCUUAGGAGAAGUUAUGGAUACAAAAUGGUUAUUGUUGAGGCCUGGAAGAGAC